rnacentral:rRNA from 1 species
AUUGAACGCUGGCGGCAUGCUUUACACAUGCAAGUCGAACGGCAGCGCGGGCUUCGGCCUGGCGGCGAGUGGCGAACGGGUGAGUAAUGCAUCGGAACGUGCCCAGUAGUGGGGGAUAGCCCGGCGAAAGCCGGAUUAAUACCGCAUAUGACCUGAGGGUGAAAGCGGGGGACCGAAAGGCCUCGCGCUAUUGGAGCGGCCGAUGUCGGAUUAGCUAGUUGGUGGGGUAAAGGCUUACCAAGGCGACGAUCCGUAGCUGGUCUGAGAGGACGACCAGCCACACUGGGACUGAGACACGGCCCAGACUCCUACGGGAGGCAGCAGUGGGGAAUUUUGGACAAUGGGGGCAACCCUGAUCCAGCCAUGCCGCGUGCGGGAAGAAGGCCUUCGGGUUGUAAACCGCUUUUGUUCGGGAAGAAAUCCUCUGGGCUAAUACCCCGGGGGGAUGACGGUACCGGAAGAAUAAGCACCGGCUAACUACGUG